UUGCUUCAGCAGCACAUACACUAAAAUUGAAACAACACAAAGAAGAUUAGCAUGGUCCCUGAGCAAAGAAGACAUGCAAAUUUGUGAAACAUUCCAUGAUUUU